UCCCCCUUUUUCAAAAACAUGGUUUUUUGUUUUUAUUUUAAAAAUUUGGCCUGGUCAAAGAUUUUAAAAAGCCCCGGGAUAUUGGAUGGGUUAAGGGAGCCUAAUAAUUUGUUUUUUAAAUGGGGUUUGGGUUGAAAGGUUAAAAGGGAAAAUUUCUUUUUUUGUUUAAUUAAAAAUGAAAUUAAUUUUUUUGUUAAAAAAGUAAAAAUUUUUAAAGGGGCAAAAAGACCCCAUAGACCCUUUUUUUUUUUUUUUUUUUUUUUUUUAAUUUUAAAGGGAAAAUUAAAAUAUUUUUGUUGGGGGGAUGUUAAAAAUUUUAAACUUUUUUUUUUUUUUACAGUUUAUUUGGUUUUUUUGAUCUUUUUUUUUGAUUUUAAGAUAAAGGUACCUUAGGGAUAACAGCGUAAUAUAGUUGGAGAGUUCUUAUUGAUAAUUAUGAUUGCGACCUCGAUGUUGGAUUAAAAUUAAUUGUGGGGUAGGUUUUACAAUUUAGG
rnacentral:rRNA from 1 species